rnacentral:rRNA from 1 species
GCGGCGGACGGGUGAGUAACGCGUGGGUAAUCUACCUCGUAGUUCGGGAUAACAGGCCGAAAGGCUUGCUAAUACCGGAUGAGUUCAUGCUUAUGCAUAUAGGCAUGAAGAAAGGGCUAGCCCGCUAUGAGAUGAGCCCGCGUCCCAUUAGCUUGUUGGAGGGGUAAUGGCCUACCAAGGCAACGAUGGGUAGCCGGCCUGAGAGGGUGUACGGCCACACUGGGACUGAGACACGGCCCAGACUCCUACGGGGGGCAGCAGUAGGGAAUUUUCGGCAAUGGGCGAAAGCCUGACCGAGCGACGCCGCGUGAGGGACGAAGGCCUUCGGGUUGUAAACCUCUGUCUGGGGGGAUGAGAACGGACGGUACCCCCGGAGGAAGCCCCGGCUAACUACGUGCCAGCAGCCGCGGUAAUACGUAGGGGGCUAGCGUUGUCCGGAAUUACUGGGCGUAAAGGGCGUGUAGGCGGUCGUGCAAGUCGGUUGUGAAAGUCUAGG